CUCCUGACGACGACAAAAUGUCAGGUAUCCCCUGCCCAAUGAAUGUUUUUUUAAAUGGCCGCGCGAGUGCGAAGGUAGCAAAAUAAAUUGCCACUUAAUUGGUGGCUGGCAUGAAUGGGGGGACAAAAGGAUGCCUGUCUCUAAUAGGUACGUAUAAAAUACCCUUUAAGUGAAAAGGCUUAAAUUAACUUAAAAGACAAAAAGACCCUGUCGCACUUAAUACAAAUUUAGUUUUUUUUGCUAAGUAGUAUUUCGUUGGGAUGACGCCUGAUAAAAAAAAAACACCAGUUUUUUUUAAAUAAAAAAGCUUAAUUAAAUGACCCUACUAAGAUCAUAUAAUAAGCCACCGCAGGGAUAACAGGCUAAUUUUCCUACUAGAGCCCCAAUCGACUAGGAAGCUUGGCACCUCGAUGUUGGCUUAAAGUUCCCCCUAGAUGCANAAGUCUAGCGGGGGGGUUUGUUCAACCUUUAUAUCUUU
rnacentral:rRNA from 1 species